rnacentral:rRNA from 1 species
GACGUAGGGCGCGAGCGUUGUCCGGAUUUAUUGGGCGUAAAGAGCUCGUAGGCGGUUUGUCGCGUCUGCUGUGAAAACUCGGGGCUUAACUCCGGGCCUGCAGUGGGUACGGGCAGACUAGAGUGCGGUAGGGGAGACUGGAAUUCCUGGUGUAGCGGUGAAAUGCGCAGAUAUCAGGAGGAACACCAGCGGCGAAGGCGGCGCUCUGGGCCGGUACUGACGCUGAGGAGCGAAAGCGUGGGGAGCAAACAGG